AGCCGCUACUACGUAAUAAUCUGCAUAUUUAACUUUAUGUGGGAAAGAUGGCCUCUACUUGUAGCUAUCGCUUUUGGAUGAGUCCGCGUCUCAUUAGCUUGUUGGUGGGGUAAUGGCCUACCAAGGCAACGAUGAGUAGCUGGUCUGAGAGGAUGAUCAGCCACACUGGGACUGAAACACGGCCCAGACUCCUACGGGAGGCAGCAGUGGGGAAUAUUGCGCAAUGGGGGAAACCCUGACGCAGCGACGCCGCGUGUAGGAAGAAGGCCUUCGGGUCGUAAACUACUGUCAAGAGGGAAGAAACCGUAGAGUAUUAAUACGACUCUGCGCUGACGGUACCUCUAGAGGAAGCACCGGCUAACUCCUUGCCAGCAGCCGCGGUAAUACGGGGGGUGCGAGCGUUAAUCGGAAUCACUGGGCAUAAAGCGUGCGUAUGCGGCGUAUCAAGUCGAUGCGUGAAAGCCCUCGGCUCAACCGGGGAAUUGCUCUUGAAACUGGUACGCUAGAGUCUCGGAGAGGUUGGCGGAAUUCCAGGUGUAGGAGUGAAAUCCGUAGAUAUCU
rnacentral:rRNA from 1 species